GAUGAACGCUAGCGGCAGGCCUAACACAUGCAAGUCGAGGGGUAGAAGUCUUCGGGCUUUGAGACCGGCGCACGGGUGCGUAACGCGUAUGCAAUCUGCCUUACACUAAGGGAUAGCCCAGAGAAAUUUGGAUUAAUACCUUAUAGUAUAUUUUUGUGGCAUCACAGGAUUAUUAAAGAUUUAUCGGUGUAAGAUGAGCAUGCGUCCCAUUAGCUAGUUGGUAUGGUAACGGCAUACCAAGGCAAUGAUGGGUAGGGGUCCUGAGAGGGAGAUCCCCCACACUGGUACUGAGACACGGACCAGACUCCUACGGGAGGCAGCAGUGAGGAAUAUUGGACAAUGGGCGCAAGCCUGAUCCAGCCAUGCCGCGUGCAGGAUGAAGCAUCUAUGGUGUGUAAACUGCUUUUAUACAGGAAGAAACCCCUUUACGUGUAGAGGAUUGACGGUACUGUAGGAAUAAGGAUCGGCUAACUCCGUGCCAGCCGCCGCCGUAACAC
rnacentral:rRNA from 1 species